rnacentral:rRNA from 1 species
AGUGAACGCUGGCGGUAGGCCUAACACAUGCAAGUCGAACGGCAGCACAGAGGAGCUUGCUCCUUGGGUGGCGAGUGGCGGACGGGUGAGUAACACGUGGGCAACCUGCCUUAUAGAGAGGAAUAGCCGUCCGAAAGGAUGAUUAAUACCUCAUAAUAUUGUAGCUUCGCAUGGAGCAACAAUCAAAGGAGCAAUCCACUAUAAGAUGGGCCCGCGGCGCAUUAGCUAGUUGGUGAGGUAACGGCUCACCAAGGCGACGAUGCGUAGCCGACCUGAGAGGGUGAUCGGCCACAUUGGGACUGGGACACGGCCCAGACUCCUACGGGAGGCAGCAGUGGGGAAUAUUGCACAAUGGGGGAAACCCUGAUGCAGCAACGCCGCGUGAGUGAUGACGGCCUUCGGGUUGUAAAGCUCUGUCUUCAGGGACGAUAAUGACGGUACCUGAGGAGGAAGCCACGGCUAACUACGUGCCAGCCGCCGCGGUAA